CAUUCGCACCUGAAAAUUUCCCAUAAUUCACUGCGGCGAAAGACUGAUAAAUUUGCCGUCGCCGGGUUAUGACGUUCUUCGUGGAGACCAUUCCUUAGCGAUCGCCGUCCAGCACCGACAUGAGGGCUAAGUGGCGAAAGAAGCGCAUGCGCAGGCUGAAGCGCAAAAGGAGAAAGAUGAGGCAGAGGUCCAAGUAAACUGUCCCAUUCACCAUGGCUGUGACAUCACCAGAAACGUGACCAUUAAGCGCACUUGGAGACCUGUGAUGCACCUGAUGUCGUGUCUACGCCAGUGGCCUGUGUGAGAGCCUGAGGCAGUGCAACAGCAGGAACCAAUUGAUGCUGGAAAGCUGAUUUAAAGAUCUGCUGGGUGUCAGGCUUUUACUUUGGGACAUUUAAGACCCUGAUUUUAAUUCCUGGUCUUUAUUCCUCAACUUUUGUCAUUUGUUUUGUUUAUACUGUGAUUAAAGGUUUUGGUGUAAAACAA